ensembl:lncRNA
GAAGAAGAGGCACAUCCUGGAACAAGGUUACACUGUUGAUAGUUACGCAAGAGGGAAAAUUAUGCAUGUUUUGUUUACUUUCUCUAUCGAAUACAGAUUGCCCCGUCUACAAUUUGAUCGAUUAUUAACGUUUAAAAAUACCUAAAGUUGUAGUACAAAAGUAGUUUGAAAUAUUUUGGCAAAGUUUAUAGGCAACUUUUGAAAUGUUUUGUAGUGACGUUGUGUUUUGGAAAGCUGUUUUUUUCCAGAUCAAACCUGCUUUAUAAAUGGACAUGUUGGGUAUACAUGGACGGAAUUAAUCGAAAAAAAAAGGACCAAUUGUGAUGUUUAUGGGACAUAUUGGAGUGCCAACAAAGAAGCUCGUCAAAGUGUCGGUCCUCACGGAAGGACGAGGCGCAGGGCGAUCCGGAUGGAGACGGUGGAACUCCCGCAGCAAUAUUGGAAGCAUCAGGGAGUUUAAUUUUUUGUUUUGGUUGGUGACAUCGGGUCCGGGUGCCGUUGCCGAAGGAACUGGGGAUUCCUCAGCCGGCUCAUCAGGCUUUUAUGCCUUAGCUGGCUAGAGAGGUUUUCUUGACUCGGUUGACUCGGCAGGCUCCCAUCCCACGUCAUGCCUCAGCUGACUCGUCAGGCUCCCACGCCUCACCCAGCUCGUUGGGCUCCCACGCCUCGGCCGGCUCGUCGGGCUCCCAUGCCUCAGCCUGUCAUCCGGCUCUCACGCCUCAGUAGGCGGUCAGGAUCACCCAGGUGGGACGCCGGGUGGCACCCCUGGGAGGGGGGGUACUGUCACGCCUGCUCCCGCUCCCCAUCUCUGGCGCUCGAGGGUGCCAGUCUGCCCAUCAUUACGCACACCUGCCACCAUCGUUACGUGCAUCAGCGCUUCAUUGGACUCACCUGUACUCACUUUAUUGAUUGUCCACCCUAUAUCUGUCAAUUCCUCAGCUUCAUCCCCUUGUCAGCAUUAAUGUCGUUAUGUUCCCCUUGUCCAGAUGCUGUCCUUGUUUUGUUUUAUGCCUGUUUAUCCAUUAAAUAUUCACUCCCUGUACUUGCUUCUCAUCUCCCAGCGUCUGUCCUCACAGUUUCGAGACUAGAGCAAUUGAUGAUUUAUCCAGUUUACCCAAAGUACAGUUAAAAUCUCUUGAAAUAAAUCCAAGUCCCUUGCAC